UACGGAGGGGGCUAGCGUUGUUCGGAAUUACUGGGCGUAAAGCGCACGUAGGCGGCUUUGCAAGUUAGAGGUGAAAGCCCGGGGCUCAACUCCGGAAUUGCCUUUAAAACUGCAUCGCUAGAAUUGUGGAGAGGUAAGUGGAAUUCCGAGUGUAGAGGUGAAAUUCGUAGAUAUUCGGAAGAACACCAGUGGCGAAGGCGGGUCUCUGGG
rnacentral:rRNA from 1 species